rnacentral:sRNA from 1 species
GUCAACACAUACUGGAACUCUCUUUGAGGGUGUUGGUGUCGGAAGCGAUUCCCCUAGUCAGUGAACAGGAUAAUCCAAGAUAAAGACCAGACCAGAUUUUUUAUUUGUUAAAAGCACCUUUAAGGUGCUUUUUUCAU